CGAAGGGGGCUAGCGUUGUUCGGAAUCACUGGGCGUAAAGGGUGCGUAGGCGGGAUCUUAAGUCAGGGGUGAAAUCCCGAGGCUCAACCUCGGAACUGCCUUUGAUACUGGGGUCCUUGAGUCCGGAAGAGGUGAGUGGAACUGCGAGUGUAGAGGUGAAAUUCGUAGAUAUUCGCAAGAACACCGGUGGCGAAGGCGGCUCACUGGUCCGGAACUGACGCUGAGGCACGACAGCGUGGGGAGCAAACAGGAUU
rnacentral:rRNA from 1 species